UGGGGAAUAUUGCACAAUGGGCGCAAGCCUGAUGCAGCAACGCCGCGUGAACGAUGAAGGUCUUCGGAUCGUAAAGUUCUGUUGCAGGGGAAGAUAAUGACGGUACUCUGUGAGGAAGCCCCGGCUAACUACGUGCCAGCAGCCGCGGUAAUACGUAGGGGGCUAGCGUUAUCCGGAUUUACUGGGCGUAAAGGGUGCGUAGGUGGUCUUUCAAGUCGGUGGUUAAAGGCUACGGCUCAACCGUAGUUAGCCUCCGAAACUGGUAGACUUGAGUGCAGGAGAGGAAAGUGGAAUUCCCAGUGUAGCGGUGAAUUGCGUAGAUAUUGGGAGGAACACCAGUAGCGAAGGCGGCUUUAUGGACUGCAACUGACACUGAGGCACGAAAGCGUGGGUAGCAAACAGG
rnacentral:rRNA from 1 species